GACGAACGCUGGCGGCGUGCCUAAUACAUGCAAGUCGAACGCCGUUGCGAACGGGUGUGUAACGCGUAGGUAACUGCCCCAUAGCGGGGGAUAACUAUUGGAAACCAUUGCCUAUACCGCAUUCUGUUAGACGGACCUGCGUUGUAUUGUCUUGUUGGUGCGGUAAAGGCUCACCAAGGCGACGAUACAUAGCCGACCUGGGAGGGUGAUCGGCCAAACUUGGAAUGGGACACGGGCCAGACUCCUACGGGAGGCAGCAGUAGGGAAUCAUCGGCAAUGGGCGGAAAUCUGACCGAGCAACGCCGCGUGGGUGAAGAAAGUUUUCGGAUCGUAAAACUCUGUUGUUAGAGAAGCGGUAACUAACCAGAAAGGGACGGCUAACUACGUGCCAGCAGCCGCGGUAAUUC
rnacentral:rRNA from 1 species